rnacentral:rRNA from 1 species
GGCGUGUGACUGCGUACCUUUUGUAUAAUGGGUCAGCGACUUAUAUUCUGUAGCAAGGUUAACCGAAUAGGGGAGCCGAAGGGAAACCGAGUCUUAACUGGGCGUUAAGUUGCAGGGUAUAGACCCGAAACCCGGUGAUCUAGCCAUGGGCAGGUUGAAGGUUGGGUAACACUAACUGGAGGACCGAACCGACUAAUGUUGAAAAAUUAGCGGAUGACUUGUGGCUGGGGGUGAAAGGCCAAUCAAACCGGGAGAUAGCUGGUUCUCCCCGAAAGCUAUUUAGGUAGCGCCUCGUGAAUUCAUCUCCGGGGGUAGAGCACUGUUUCGGCAAGGGGGUCAUCCCGACUUACCAACCCGAUGCAAACUGCGAAUACCGGAGAAUGUUAUCACGGGAGACACACGGCGGGUGCUAACGUCCGUCGUGAAGAGGGAAACAACCCAGACCGCCAGCUAAGGUCCCAAAGUCAUGGUUAAGUGGGAAACGAUGUGGGAAGGCCCAGACAGCCAGGAUGUUGGCUUAGAAGCAGCCAUCAUUUAAAGAAAGCGUAAUAGCUCACUGGUCGAGUCGGCCUGCGCGGAAGAUGUAACGGGGCUAAACCAUGCACCGAAGCUGCGGCAGCGACGCUGAUGCGUUGUUG